GAUGAACGCUGGCGGCGUGCCUAACACAUGCAAGUCGAGCGAUCUUCUUCGGAAGAGAGCGGCGGACGGGUGAGUAACGCGUGGGUAACCUGCCCUGUACACACGGAUAACAUACCGAAAGGUAUGCUAAUACGGGAUAACAUAAGAAAUUCGCAUGUUUUUCUUAUCAAAGCUCCGGCGGUAUAGGAUGGACCCGCGUCUGAUUAGCUAGUUGGUGAGGUAACGGCUCACCAAGGCGACGAUCGGUAGCCGACCUGAGAGGGUGAUCGGCCACAUUGGAACUGAGACACGGUCCAAACUCCUACGGGAGGCAGCAGUGGGGAAUAUUGCACAAUGGGCGAAAGCCUGAUGCAGCAACGCCGCGUGAGCGAUGAAGGCCUUCGGGUCGUAAAGCUCUGUCCUCAAGGAAGAUAAUGACGGUACUUGAGGAGGAAGCCCCGGCUAACUACGUGCCAGCAGCCGCGGUAA
rnacentral:rRNA from 1 species